rnacentral:misc_RNA from 1 species
GAAAUGCGAUAAUUAAUGUGAAUUGCAGAAUUCAGUGAAUCAUCGAGUCUUUGAACGCACAUUGCGCCCCCUGGUAUUCCGGGGGGCAUGCCUGUCCGAGCGUCAUUGCUGCCCUCAAGCACGGCUUGUGUGUUGGGCUUCCGUCCCUGGCAACGGGGACGGGCCCAAAAGGCAGUGGCGGCACCAUGUCUGGUCCUCGAGCGUAUGGGGCUUUGUCACCCGCUCCCGUAGGUCCAGCUGGCAGCUAGCCUCGCAACCAAUCUUUUUAACCAGGUUGACCUCGGAUCAGGUAGGGAUACCCGCCGAACUUAAGC